GAUGAACGCUGGCGGCGUGCCUAAUACAUGCAAGUCGAGCGAACAGAUGAGGAGCUUGCUCCUCUGACGUUAGCGGCGGACGGGUGAGUAACACGUGGAUAACCUACCUAUAAGACUGGGAUAACUUCGGGAAACCGGAGCUAAUACCGGAUAAUAUAUUGAACCGCAUGGUUCAAUAGUGAAAGACGGUUUUGCUGUCACUUAUAGAUGGAUCCGCGCCGCAUUAGCUAGUUGGUAAGGUAACGGCUUACCAAGGCAACGAUGCGUAGCCGACCUGAGAGGGUGGUCGGCCACACUGGAACGGAGACACGGUCCAGACUCCUACGGGAGGCAGCAGUAGGGAAUCUGCCGCAAUGGGCGAAAGCCUGACGGAGCAACGCCGCGUGAGUGAUGAAGGUCUUCGGAUCGUAAAACUCUGUUAUGAGGGAAGAACAAAUGUGUAAGUAACUAUGCACGUCUUGACGGUACCUAAUCAGAAAGCCACGGCUAACUACGUG
rnacentral:rRNA from 1 species